rnacentral:lncRNA from 1 species
UAAUUAUAACCAAAACACAUAUUUGUCAUCAAUGGCCCAAUUGAACCUAUCAUGCCAUUAUACCAAAAUUUAGUUCGUUACAUAUACCGAAAUGAGUCGAAGGAUAGUGUGAUGAUGCUCCAACCAGCUUCCAACCACUUCGAGCUUCUGAAUUACUAUAAAACAGGAAAAAUAAUACAAGGCAAGCAUAUUAUGCUUAGUAAGUUCGUAUAACAGGAAAUUAACUUGCCAAUCAUUUACAUUUAAAGUAAGUAUGUAAAAUUCAUCCAAAGAAAAUUUGGCAAUUUACCUAAACACAUAUAAUCUCAAGAAAUAUGUUAGUCACGUACUUCAUGUGAAUAUCAAGAAUCAAAGAUAAGCUCAUCAUGUAAGAUUUUCAUAUACAUAUGCUUUCUACAUCAUAUAUCCAUAUAACAUGUACAUUUUCAUAAUAAUUCAUUCAAGUUCAGAUUAUCCCAUGUCGGAACCUUACCCGUUGAAUUUACUAGAAAUAUUGAUGGAUGCACAUGUAGUACACUUGAAGUGUACAAAUUGUAAUCCGUUAAUUCAUAUUCGGGAGUGUUCCUUAGAGCACAUAAUUGGGAAGCCCUCUCUCAAGCCAUAUAACUAGAAGCUCAUGUGAGCCAUGUAUCGGGAAGCUUAUCCGGGCUGUAUAAUGGGAAGCUCAUAAGAGCCAUAAUCAGGAAGCUCAUACGAGCCAAUAAUGGGAAGCUUCGGAAUGCCAUAUAUCAAGAAGUUCAAGCGAGCCAUAUUGGAAAGCUCCGGAGAGCCAUUAAUUAGGAAGCUCACAAAGAGCCUUCAAUCGGGAAGCUCACGAAGAGCCAUAUAAUAGGACACUCAUAAGAGUUGCGGUGUGUCCAGAACACAUGCAGGAUCACAACCGAUUAGGAUGCUCCGAAGAGCUAUAAACGUGAAGCUUGCAAGAACUAUACAACAGGAAGCUCGAGAGGGCUAAUAAUGGGAUGCUCUUUCGAGCUAUGGUGUGUCCGCAACAUAUGUAAGACCACCACCAAUAUGAGAAAUCAUGUAUCCAUCAAAUUUCAUUUAUUCAAACGGGACUUGACAUUUAUCGACCUGUGUCAGAUAUGUAGUCAAUUUCAUACAAGUCAAUUACACAAUUCGUAUACAUAAAAUUCAAUUCAAACAUAUAAAUUCUCAAUUUAGUUACACGAACUUACCUUGAUAAUUGUUCGUGUACACGAAAUUCUACUAAUCCGACACUUUUUCUUUUCCUCGAUCUAUAUCUAUCUUCCUAUUUAAGUUAUUCGGAUCUAUACGAAUGAAUUUAACAUCAAUUUAAUACGAUUCAUAUUCAAUACAAUGCAAUUCAUAUCUUAAGAAAAAUGACCAUUUUGCCCCUAUACUUUUAAUUAAUUUCGAUUUUAUCCUUAGGCUCGGAAAAUGAAAUUCAUGCAAUUUAAUCCUUAUUCCAAGCUUAGCGAAUUUUUACAUGUAAUAUUUACAGCCCAUGUAAUUCAUAAAGUUUAGAAUUUUUCCAUGAAUUGUACAUCUUUACAAUUUAGUCCCUAAAUCAUAAUUUCAUCAAAAUUAACUUUACAAAAGUUGUUUAUCUAUCAACAACCUUUCAUUUUCUACCAUAAAUUUCAUAAUUCAAGCAUAUUCAUCCAUGGAAAACCCCUAGUACUUUGAUAACUUUACAAAUUAAUCCCCGAGAUAGCUAAAUUAAGCUAUUACGAUCUUGGAAACAUAAAAAUCAUUAAAAACAGGACAAGAAUGCUUACCCAAUUAAGCUAAAUAAGCUUGUUUGAGUUCUCUUCUUUUAGCUAGGGUUUCCAUAAAAAAUUUUGGGAAAGAUGAUGAAAAAGAUGAUAUUUUAUUAUUUAAUUAACUUAUCAUAUUUUAUUAUUUCAAAUUUCCAAUUUAGUCCUUUUCUUUAUUAAAUUUUCCAUGGAUGAAUCAUCAUACUUAUCUACUAACUUCUCUUAAUGGUCUAUUUGCCAUAUAAGGACCUCCAAUUUUGAAUUACAUAGCCAUUUUUUAUCCUUUUAGCUACUAGAAUUCAACUUUUCCUUUUAUCAAUUAAUCAUGUAACCGAUAAAAUUCUCUUAAAGAAAGUUUUAUACGAUAUUCUUAUCUCAUGGUAGACCAUAAAAUAAUUUUAAAAUAAUUUUUCUUACAGACUCGGAUUUGUGGUCUCGAAACCACUGUUCUAAUUUCACUUAAAACGGACUGUUACAAUAAUGAGGGACCCAGUUGACUGUCAUUAUGCGGGCACCAGCUCAAACUUUUCAGAUACCCAGAGAUAUUGCCUUAUAAAUACCAUAUAGAAGUUUGAUGGCAUAAUCAUAGGAAAAAAAUAUAGGGCUUUCUGCUAUAAUCAGUGUAACUUUUUUAUCCAUUUCCAUGUAGCUAGUAUAUUUAACCUUUUUUUCUUAUUCAAAGGUCGGCACCGCCGUGGAAGCAAGAGGACUUUCAAGCGAGCAACGACUAUUGCGAUAUAGUAAAAGUGAUGCCCUUUUCGAGGUGACAAUGGUUGUUAUUAUUAAAUAACCCAUUAAUAACUACAAUUGUUGUCACGUCAACUCGAGUUUGACCUCUACUGUGCCAGAACAUCUGCUCUCUGCCUAAGAGUCCUCUUGUGUUCACCUCGGUGUCAACCUUCAGAUAAGAAUGAAAGGUUAAAGAUACUAGCGGCUUGGAAAUAGAAAAAAAUAUAUGUUGAUUACACUAGAAAGCCCUUUGCUUUUCUCUAUGAUUAUGGCUUCAAUCUUAUGCAUGGUAUAUGUAAGGCAUCAUUUACAGGUAUCCAAAAAGCUUAAACUCGUGACCACAUAAUGACUGUCAAUUGGCCCCUAGUUAUACUCGAACCCGUGAUCAUAUCAUGGCCACCGAUUGGGACCUCCACUUAAACUUUCAGCCCAUGAUCGUAUCAAGCACUAUCACCUCAAAACCUGACUUUAAUAGGAUGGGUUUCUGAGGUAAUGGUUCUAUCCCAGCACGACAUAUGAAAUGUAUGUGUUAUAAGACGCGUUAUCGCAUCAGCGGCCCCUCAAAUCUACAUAUAAACUUUCACGAUUUCACUCUUAAAACCCUAAACCCUAAUUCUUAACAAAAAAACUCUAACUCUAACCCUAAAAUUAAAAAAAAACCCUUAAAAAAGUUUGAACAACUCAAUUCGAAUAACUCAAACUUUGAAUUUCUUCGACUUGAUUCGAGUUUUGCACACCCCUAGUUUAAAUCAGUACCAAGUAGUCUUUGUUUUGCUUUGGUCAAAAUUUUAAUGUGUCUCAACCAUUUCAGUGUGUUUCGGUCUAUUUCAGUCAAUAUCAGUUUGUAUCGAUGCAUACCGGCUCCUAUUGAUUUGUGCAAAAUUUUAAAAUUUUUUAUUUUAACCACUUUAAGUUUUCUAUAAUUAUAUUUAAAAUUAAAAGCUAUUAAAUUAAAUUAUUGAACUUAAUGAAUAAUUUUAAACUUAUAUUUACAUAUAAAUAUAUUUAUAUGAAUGUAAUGGAGAUGUAUUUGUAUCUAUAUGUAAUACAUAAUUUUUUUUAACAAAAUAAUAUAUAAUUUAUUAAGAAACUAAAAAAUUAUACUAUAAAUAUAUGUGAAAAGUAUUUAAAUGCAUAUAUAAUUUAUCAAAAAACUAAAAAUGAGUAUAUAUGUAAAAAAUAUUUAAAAAAUCAAUAAAUCCAAAACAGUACAUUAAAACAUGUCAAUAUCGAUAAAUCCAAAUAGAUACAUCAAAACAUAUCAAUACGGGUACAUACUAGUACCCAAACAAAAAGUGAUUAGUCCACCGGUAUAGUACUGACUAUCCUGCUUGUGACACUAAUUUAGUCAAUAAUUUAAUUAUAGUAAAGAUGUUUGUUAUUUUUUAAAAUAAUAACUUUUAAACCUUUACAAAUUUAAUUAAUAUCCGAUUAACUUAUGACACCAACUCAAAUAAAAAAAUUAUAAUAAUAUAGAAACAACAUCUAUCAUAUUUGAAAAUUGAUAACUUCUAAUUAGGAUCAAACCAAUUCAUAAAUAUGAAAAUAUAAAAGUUUAAUGUUGCUCUCUUAGCAAAACAAGCUUGGCGAUUGUUAGCUAAUUUGAACUCGCUUGUUGCAUGUUUGUUAAAGGCUAAAUACUAAUAUUUUGAAAACCAAACUGGACUGGCCGGUCGAACUGGGAACUGGAAAAGUAACCAGUCCGUUCAACAGCAAAAAUCCUUUUGAACCGAGUAUCAGAAAAACCGGUCGAACCGGCUUUUGGAAAUUUUGAACUCCCUGGAUUAGGUCAAGCUGGAAAAACGAUCCAAUAAUAAAAAAGUCUGGUUCUUUUCAACUAUGAGACCAAAGCAGAAAAAAAUAAAUAAAAAUAAAUUUAAAAUUUUGAAAACUAAAAGCUAAUGUCCUAAAUCUACCCGUGACCCUCACCCCCCACAGUCCCACACCCAUCAGACCAUCAGAUUCUUCAGCCCCAGGAUAGCACCGUCUACUCUGCCUCACCCACCCUCAAUCUAGAAGGGUUUAAAGUUUAAAUAGUAGAGUUAUGAAGAAGAAAAGUUUAGGAAAAAGAAAAAAAUAUGAAUUAUUGAAAAAAAGAAAGAGAAGUUAGAGUGAAGAAGCCAAAGUAAUCUCAUCAGAAAAGAAAAGAAAGGACAGUGAAGGUCACCCACUUAUAGUAUUCACGAAUAAGAACAAAAAAUAAAACAAAUAUUAAAAUAAGUAAAAAGUAUGGUGUGUAUUUACACACCUUGAACUAGCUAAUGGUUGGAUUCGGUGUCUACUCAGUGAAGAAUGGAAAUGUUUGGCUGAAGCUUUGUGACUUUGAUUACCCAGACUUCUCAUUUCUUCGAUAGUAUUAUUUUUUCAACCUCCUGUUUUGCGUUAUCUCUUCUUAGUUUCAAGACUUUGUAUUUCCCCUUAAUUUCUUAUUAUUAUCAGAUGGCAUUUUCUUCAAAAAGAAAUAUUUUGAAAUCGAAUUUCCUCACCUCCAUUUUCAAGACAAUAAUCUCAAUUUUUUAAAAAGAAAAAUA